CUCAAAUGGCGGUGGCUUUCGCAGCCAUAGUUGUUGUCUUCUCCACUAAUGUGGCUUCAGUUCAGGCUGAUCAUCCUUACUUGUACUCCUCACCCCCUCCUCCUUAUGUCUACAGCUCCCCACCGCCCCCUGUUCACUCUCCUCCACCUCCUUAUGUCUACAAGUCACCUCCCCCACCAUCGCCUUCACCACCUCCUCCUUACGUCUACAAGUCACCUCCCCCACCAUCGCCUUCUCCUCCACCACCGUACGUCUACAAGUCUCCUCCACCUCCCUCACCUAAAUUGCCUCCGUACGAGUACAAGUCACCACCACCUCCAUCACCUUCUCCCCCACCACCAUAUGUCUACAAAUCACCACCUCCACCAUCACCUUCUCCUCCACCGCCUUACUACUACAAGUCUCCUCCACCUCCGGUACAUUCUCCACCACCACCAUACUACUACAAAUCUCCUCCACCUCCUGUACAUUCACCACCACCACCUUACUACUACAAAUCUCCUCCACCCCCAGUACAUUCUCCCCCACCACCUUACUAUUACAAAUCUCCUCCACCCCCAGUACAUUCUCCACCACCACCUUACUACUAUAAGUCUCCUCCUCCUCCUUCUCCCUCACCACCACCACCAUACUACUACAAAUCCCCUCCUCCACCUUCCCCAACUCCUCAUGCACCAUACUACUACAAGUCUCCUCCACCGCCGUCACCAAAACCUUACAUGUACAAGUCUCCUCCACCACCAUCCCCAAAACCUUACAUGUAUAAGUCUCCUCCACCACCAUCACCAAAGCCUUACAUGUAUAAGUCUCCUCCACCACCAUCCCCAAAGCCUUACGUGUACAAGUCUCCCCCGCCACCGUCACCAAAGCCGUACGUCUACAAGUCUCCACCACCACCCUCUCCCAAACCGUACGUGUACAAGUCUCCACCACCACCAUCGCCAAAGCCUUACUACUACCAGUCUCCUCCUCCACCGGCUCCUUACUAUCCUCACCCAUACCCACACCCACACCACCACCCAUUGAUCGUCAAGGUCGUCGGAAAGGUCUACUGCUACAGAUGCUACGACUGGGGAUAUCCAAUCAAGUCCCACGACAAGAAACACCUCAAAGGUAAUUAAUUCCGUAACAUACAUUCUCUUGAUUAGUUAUUGUAUUGGUUUUGCUGCUGCUGUUCUUCAUUUUCUAAGAAAGAGAUGUUUUUUCAUAUCCGAUCUGGCCACUGUGCCUUGUUCUUCUUUACAAAAUAAUUAUAAUUUCAUGGCGGCUUAAUCAAUCAAACCCAUGUUCCAUACAUAUGCAAAAUAUUAAUUUUCUUGUAGUGCUGAAUGUGUUGUAUUUGCUAUANNNNNNNNNNNNNNNNNNNNUCUAUAUAUAUAUAUAUAUAUAUUUUUUUUUAAUAUGUAUUCCAAUUCCAAUAAAAUUCCUUUUAGCUAGCUGUCCAAUGUCCAUCUCCAAAAAGAAAAGCAUCUUGUCCUUUUCAGUUUUAAGGAUUUGGAAAAUUCAGUGACUUUGAUCAUAGAAGUGAUAGCAAGAAUCAAUUAGUUAGUGAUUAAGGUAAUAUUAAUUAGUUAGAUUGGUCUGAAAAUGAUUGUUAUUAUUUUAAAUGAAAUGAUCUAAUAUUUAACUGUAAAUGGAACAGGUGCUGUUGUUGAGAUCACAUGCUGGGCAGGCAAGAAGGAGGUCAAGGCCUACGGUAAAACAAAGAACAAUGGUAAAUUCAGCAUCGCAGUCGAAGACUUUGACUACGGUAAAUAUGGUGCCAAGGCAUGUACCGCGAAGCUCCACAUGGCACCCGAGGGUUCCUUGUGCAGCAUUCCAACUCCGCUCAAUUGGGGCAACAAGGGUGCCAAGCUGAAGGUCAAGUCCAAGAACAAGUGGGAGGUUGUGCUCAAGGCCAAGCCAUUUGCUUUUGCUCCCAAGACUGCUUACAAGGAGUGUGCCAAGCACGCGCCACACCAUCCUUCUCCCUACGUCUACAAGUCGCCGCCUCCGCCAACCCCGACUUACGUCUACAAGUCUCCUCCUCCACCAACUCCGACUUACGUCUACAAGUCUCCUCCUCCACCGUCGCCUAAGUACGUUUACAAGUCACCGCCAUCACCGGCCUACUACUACAAGUCACCACCACCGCCAUCUCCAAAGCCGUACGUGUACAAGUCACCACCACCGCCAUCUCCAAAGCCGUACGUGUACAAGUCUCCACCACCACCAUCNNNNNNNNNNNNNNNNNNNNNNNNNNNNNNNNNNNNNNNNNNNNNNNNNNNNNNNNNNNNNNNNNNNNNNNNNNNNNNNNNNNNNNNNNNNNNNNNNNNNNNNNNNNNNNNNNNNNNNNNNNNNNNNNNNNNNNNNNNNNNNNNNNNNNNNNNNNNNNNNNNNNNNNNNNNNNNNNNNNNNNNNNNNNNNNNNNNNNNNNNNNNNNNNNNNNNNNNNNNNNNNNNNNNNNNNNNNNNNNNNNNNNNNNNNNNNNNNNNNNNNNNNNNNNNNNNNNNNNNNNNNNNNNNNNNNNNNNNNNNNNNNNNNNNNNNNGCCAUCUCCUCCUCCACCAUACCACUACACCUCCCCACCUCCACCUUCUCCAUCUCCUCCCCCACCAUACGCUUACAAGUCUCCACCACCUCCUUCACCCUCUCCUCCUCCUCCAUACGUCUACAAGUCACCUCCACCUCCGGUGAAAUCUCCUCCACCACCGGUGUACAUUUACGCCUCUCCCCCACCUCCCACUCACUACUAGGCUCAAACACGUGCAUAGACCAAUCAUGUAAGUCGUCGAAUUUAGUCUCUGUUUUUGUUUUCACUUUAUUAAUUACCAAUGUAACAUUUUAAUCUAAACUUACUAAUUAACAAUGUAAUUGCAGGUUUUAAUUUAAGCAGCAGAAUAAAGGAAGGCUCCAUGAGCCGAAAGCAGAGACACCAAGCUUCCAAUCCAAGUCCAUUGUUGUCGACGGUGAAGAACAAGGGUCUGGCAGAAACAUCAGCCAUGACCAGCAACCUCAUCUUCCACAUGCUCUUACUAUACUCAUCAUCCAAAUCGGGAAUUUAAAGCAUUCAUCUUGGUCUUGGAAGGAACUAAUAAUUUGGCUUGGUCGUCUCAGUGUCGUCAUUUUUUCAUUUCUAAAUUAUAUUUCAUUGUAUAGGGUAGCAGUUACAUGGCCUUUUUUUUUUUUUUUCAAUUGUAUGAUUGGCUUCUAUUUAUUGUGAGGAUAAAUGUUUCUUUAGGCAUUCACUGAAUUAUUUAUCAAUAAAAAUGAUGAAUUACUUUCACUCUGUCUUCUACUAUCUGGCUUCAUAUCUAGCUAGCUUUUUGGUAGUGCUCUUCGAUUUCAUUUGCUUGGCUUUUCUGUCCCCUUUAUUCCAAGGGUAUAAGUGCCCUCAAAUACAUAUGACAAUGCAGAUAGGGUUCACAAAUCACAAAGUGGGCAGCAAAAUGAAUUUCAAGUUGAGUGGAUUGUGGGGUUUAUGACACAAUUUGUCGUCAACUUGGAAGCAGCGUUUCGAGGAUCAAAUUCCAUAUAUAGUUAGGCGGCUGCUGCUGCUGCAUGCCAUGAUUGACAAACUUGAAGCACUGCCAAGCAAAAAGAUUGAUAUAUAAGAACAAACAAAGAAAGAAUGACUCAACAACUCCCCUAGCCUGAUGGUUGCAAUCACAGCCCCAAUUGCAUGUUUUGAAUCUUAAUAGAUAAUUUUAUAUAUAAUACGUUUUGAAGAUGAUGAACCUACCAUAAUAAUGUAGGUUGUAUUAAAGUGUUUAGUUUGUCAUUUCUUCUUUCAUCGGAAAAGAAAGGAGACUACGUACUUAGAUGAAUAUCAUGGAGUUCAUGCAGUAAACCCUGUUCUUUUUUUGGCAUUUUCUUUUCUUCUCGCAUAUAUGUAGUGGUGAAAGAAGUAAUUAGAUACCUUGUGAUGAAUAAGUUACAACAUGUUCAAGUUAAAAGUGAUUCAAAACAAACAUAUCACAUCACUCGUUUUAUUUUUGUUAUCUGAUAAUCAAGUUUUGUUAGUCUUCUUAUGUUGCGCACAUAUAUUUUUGCAUAUGAAGGUACCUCUGUCGCGCAGCUGGUCAUGUACAAACUAAUUAUUCCGAUUUUCAAAUCAUGCAUGAGCCUCCGUUUUUUUUCCUUCAUUCAUUUCUGCUUUUAAUUUUAGGGGAGUGAAAUCCAUACUCCUAAAAUUGUAAUUCAUAUUUUCACUUUCUAUUUUUGGUAACUUAACUUUUGUCCUUAGCAAAUUAAAUUUUGUCUUCUUAUGAGAAUGAUGAUUAAAAAUGAAAAAUGGGAGUGUGAAUUUCAAUUUGGGGAGGUAAAUUUUUCUUUCUAAUUUUAAAAUGAAUACAAGAGUUGUCAAUUGUACAAAUAAUCAAACCUAAAAUACAAGAGCAAUUGAAAUUACCCCCAAAUCAUAUAAGCUACAAUAAUAAUCAGAUCUUAAUUUUGCAGAAAACGAACCUAAAUUAAUUGAACUAAAGAUGAAGAAAGAUACAUAGGACGAAGAAGAAAGAAAACUUAAUUGAAGAUGGGAGGUGGAACAUAACUGCUGAAGAUGGGAAGUAGAGAGAGAGCGAUAACCUCAAACACGGUUCGUGGGAUAUGCCGUCAUGCCGUGAGAGACUGAGAGAUAACAGUUUAGAAAGUAGGGUUUAGGGUUAUCUAUGACUGUUUAUUUUUAUUUUUAUUUUUACUUUUUAAUUAGCGCCUUAAUUUUCUUUUUUCAACUGAAACAUCCCGCUUCUUCUGAAGCUCCCUUUCUCUAAUCCUAUCUUGUAAAAUUAUGGUUUUGUCUAUGUACUCUGACGAAAGCAACUAGAUCUACUAUGAGGGUUAAAUGGGAUAUUUUAGUCUAAAUAACUUGGUGCCUUAAAAUUAAUGCACAAUGUACAUAUAUAAUGCUCAAACCAACUUGGGAAUGAUAGUUGUUUGGAAUGACUGCUAAUUGUAUAUAAGCUUAAUUCUUUUAGGGUACAUAUAUGGAGGCGGAUGAGAUUGGUUAAUGGGGAAUGAUAUUCUUCUUGUCCUUUCGAGGAGAUAUCAUGUUAAUGGGGAAUUAUCAUAGUCAUGAUCGAGUAAUAUCUAGCUAAGGUGGAAUACCCGGUCGAGGCAGGAAAAUCUUGUCAAAGUGGACUAGAUGAAGCUGAAAUAUAUCUCAUUCAAGGUAAAAAUCUAGUCAAGCUAGGCCAGAUAUUGGUCAAGGCGAAAUAUCUAGUUCAGAUGUACAUAGGUUAGAAUAAGUAAUUCCCUAAAUUACAAUAUGUAUUAGGAGAAUAUCUAAUCUCCUCAAAUCGAAUUUGUGUGAUGAAUACUCCCUUUGUUGAAAAUCCAAGUCAUGGAAUCCAAGUUUGGAGAAAUCUCAAACCUCGAUCAUCAGCAUUUCUUUUGAGGAAAAUCUGAGUGAGGCGUGCAAAAUCCAUGUGAGGAAAAAUGUGUAGAUCAAGGUGAGUAACAUUCUCUUCGAUCUUAGCGAGAAGUUGAAUCCAAGGAAUGAAAAAUUCUCUCAAGACGAAUAUGAAUGAGGAGAAUGCAUCAUGGAGAUUUUAGCAAAAGAAAACUAAAUUGAUGAUUGAAGAACUGGAUCAAGCUUCUUAAGAUCGGACUAUCUAGAGAAUGAUCAAGUCUUAGGCUUACUUAAGUUUAGUAGGUAAUAUGUAAGUGUAAAUCAACUAUAUCAAAGAAAUAAUAUUUGUGAAAACUGCCCAUAAGAUAUGUGAUCAACAUAAUGAAGUACGACUAUGAGGUCCCUUAUACAAAACACUCGUAAUCUCUUUUACUAAAAAAAGUAAAAAGCAAAAAGACGAAAUGAAAAUUCCCUAAACCCACUAUUCAUAAAAAGAAAGAAAAAAACCCUAAACUCUAAACUCUAAAUCCUAAACUCCAACCUCUAAACCAAAAAAAGAAAAAGAAACAAACCCAUAUCUUAUUUUUUUUUCCUUUGAUAAUGUACAAAACCCAGAUACUCUUCCCAUAUUAAAAGAAGAACAAACCCAGAAUUGGACAAGAUUCAAGCCUUCAAGGUAUCCGUUCAUCGGCAACGCGAGAAAGGAAUUCGUAAGUCUCAAGAGAAUUACCGGUUAUAUAACAUCUGGUUUGUUACUGCACCAAGGUAAAAUUAUGAAGAUAAAUAUAAUUGUAAUAAAUAGACAACCAAAGAUAUGAUUGUCAUAGCUUUUUUAUGUAACUACCCGUUUUACAUACGAGAAAUUUUAAAUACACACCCCUAAUAUCUUAAUACACACACCUUGCUUAAUACACCACCUAUCAAUUUUUUCAUUUCAGUAUUAUACUUAAUACACAUCCCAAACUGUCUAAAAUACCCUUAAUUUAUGAAAUAUUCUAUUAUUUAAUAUAAUUAAUAUAUGUACUAUUUGGUGCCUUUUUUUACAUAUUAUUUCGUCUAAUUUUUGCUAAAAAAUUUUGGCUAUCAUUGUUCAAUGUAUAAUCAAAUGAUUAUUGUUAUAUCCCAACUCCAAAUCACCAAUACAAAUUUUCAAAAUUCACAAGCUAGUAGAACUGUAGAAGUAAAGUAGCCAAUAAACAUAGCUAGCUAGUUAUUUGAUAAAACAUGUCAUGAUAGAUGUAGUACAUGACAAUAUGAUAUGCAAGAUUAAAAUAAAGCUGAUACUGAUAAAAUAAAAUAUAAAAUAAAAAAAGAUAACCCAAAUGAAUUGUGGAGAAGAGUUGGAGUUAGGGGAGAAGACGUGUUUUCGACGAUUUUAGGGUAGAAGAUUGAAAAGAAUACUUCCAGCGUGAUUUUUUUUUUUUAAUAAUAGAUGUUUGUUUUGGUCAUUUAGCUUACCUAUAAAAUCUCAAUAGAAACAUAAAAUAAUAGAGAUGUGUAUUAAGAGAUUAAGAGUGUGUAUUUAAAAUUUCUCUUUACAUACACAUUGAAAUCAACAUUAGUUUAAAAGGGUAAACAAGUGAAAUAAGGAAGCACAUCACCUGUGCCCAUUCCCGUUAUGCCUAAUAUGUGCCAUCAAAUAAAAAACUGACACAUGAAAUUCCACUCAGCACAACUUAACAGAGUUAGUUUCAGUUAACUUUGAUUAAUUUUAGUUUUUUACUUAAAUAAAAAAACAAGGACUGCGCAUUUCCUCCUUCCUUUCAAACUUCUUCUUCACAUUGCCAAAAAAAAAAAAAAAAANNNNNNNNNNNNNNNNNNNNNNNNNNNNNNNNNNNNNNNNNNNNNNNNNNNNNNNNNNNNNNNNNNNNNNNNNNNNNNNNNNNNNNNNNNNNNNNNNNNNNNNNNNNNNNNNNNNNNNNNNNNNNNNNNNNNNNNNNNNNNNNNNNNNNNNNNNNNNNNNNNNNNNNNNNNNNNNNNNNNNNNNNNNNNNNNNNNNNNNNNNNNNNNNNNNNNNNNNNNNNNNNNNNNNNNNNNNNNNNNNNNNNNNNNNNNNNNNNNNNNNNNNNNNNNNNNNNNNNNNNNNNNNNNNNNNNNNNNNNNNAAAAAAAAAAAAAAAACUUCUCCUUCUCCUGUUCAUCGUAUGUCUUUCGAUCUCCUUCUGUCUUCCUAUUACUUUCCAGCAUUCUUCCCCUUUUCUAUUCUCUCCUGUUAGUUUAUUGGAUAGAGAAAGCAAUAUUUUCAUUUAAUAAAAACAACCCUGUAUCUGCAAAUCAGACCGUAAUUGCCGUCCCGAUCCUCAAACCCACAUGCAUCUUGCUCAAUCGUGUUGGCGGACUUGAUCGAAUUCAAGUUCUCAAUGUCGAGACCCACAUGGUUAUCAUUCGGCUCGUCGUAGAGUAAAUCGAUCCGGAUAUGGAAUUCGACGGCGAGGACUUGUUCUUCAUCUUCAGGGAGGAGUUGAUUGCCUGAAAAAUCAGACCGGGUUGUUGUAGAUAGACGGUGCCGGUUGGAGAGGGAGCUAAGGGGUGAGACCAACGACGGCGGAGGAAGAAGAGGGAGAAGAGAGAGAAAGCAAGAGGCUUUAUUGGGUUCAAGAUGUGACGUAACUACCUCUAAGCUCUCUAGUCUAUACUGAUGAGUGAUGAUGGCAAUAUGAUGACUAGUUCUGGGUUCAUGAAUUCUGGAACAGUGAUUGCUAAAGAGUUGAAGGGUUGGAGUUUUGCUGAGAGGGUUUAUGAAAAUAAUUUUUCACGUUAACAAAGUCUAAUUCUGUUAAGUCUUGUUUGAGUGGAGUUCUAUGUGUCAGGUUUCUAUUGGUGGCACAUAUUGGGCAUAGGGAAAAAGGGCACAGGUGAUGUGCUUCCGUGGAAUAAGAUGAUAUAAUUAGGGUGCGGUUAUUUUUACCCCACUAAAUGCUCAGUUCACCCCACCUCACAUCUUAUAUUUUACUUUCAACGUUCCAAUUCUGCUCUUAAAUUUUGUGGUUUUUAUUUUUUUCUUUUUAUUUUCCUAAAUCUGAUAAAAUAUAAAAAUAUAUACAAAUAUAUCAUCAAUAUAUUUGAUGUAGACCUCUAUUUUUCUCAAACCGCAUCCUAUAUAUAUUCNNNNNNNNNNNNNNNNNNNNCAAAUCUGAUUUGAAAGAUGUAGAGAAUUUUUUUUUUUUUUCCGAUGUAAAGAUGUAGAGAAUUGUUGUUGUUUGGAUUUUAUAGAUUUUAGUUUAAUAUUAUAUUUUCACAAAAAUUCUUGAUUAUGGGGUUAAUAUUGGAAUAUUUAGUUUAAAAUUGAAAUGUGGGGUGAACAAAAUAUUUGGUGGGGUGACAAUAACUGCACCCUAUAAUUAUUUCCUCGCAAAUUGGUUAUUUUGACGAGGAAAUAAUUUCUCGCAUAAUAUAGACUUUUAGUGAGGAAACCCUACUUUUGUCGCCAUAUAGUUUGGUGGGUCUUGCACAGUUUUCCGUCAAACUAAUAACUAGGAAACAAUCAUUUCCUCGCUAAUUGGUUCUUUUGACGAGGAAAUAAUUUCUCGCAGAAUAUAGACUUUUAACAAGGAACCUAGCGGGUCUUGCAUAGUUUUCCGCCAAACUAAUAACGAGAAAAAAAUCAUUUCCUCACUAAUUGGUUAUUUUGACGAGGAAAUAAUUUCUCGUAGAAUAUAGGCUUUUAGCGAGGAAACCUUACUUUUGUCACCAUAAGGCAUAAAGUUUAGCGGGUCUCCCACUAUUUUCCGCCAAAAAAACAAUGACGAAAUCGUGAUUUCCUCGUUACAUGUUUAUUUUGCGAUGAAAAAUUUCCUCACCAAAAUCUCAUAUUUCCUCGCUAAUAACAUGACGAAUCAGGAGACCAAAUUAUGAUCAUCUUUAGUGAGGAACUAAAGUUUUCGUCAUAGAAAGUGGUUUAUUGUGAGGAAAAUAUGUUUCUCGUAGAAAACCUAAUGAUAUUUAGUGAGGAACCAAUUUAUUCCUCGUUAAAAGUGGCAUUUAUUGAGGAAAAUAAAUUCCUUGUAGAAAACUUGAUCGCUACAGAGUUUUUUGUUGUAGUGUCUCUAGAUGCAUAAAACAUAUGUUUGUUCUAUAUUUUUUUUUUUGAUGACAAAAAUGAAAUACAAAAAUGCAAUAACACAAAUUCUCUAGAUACUCCCCCACCUAACUGAUCCAAAUGGAACACUUGGGACACAAAAAGGGGGAGGCAGUUGUGCCAAACUGCAACAAAACGAUCAUGUAGAUCAUAAUUAGCAAUUCUAUCGGCUACAAAAAUUUCUCAAAAUAUAUGUAUAAACUGAACAAAAGAGAAAUAAGUAGCUCGCUUCUGGAUAUCCUUAACCAGAAUUGGAAGAGCAUAGCAGAGUUAUAUAUCGAAUGCAGUAGCAAGAUUGGAAGAGUAUGAGCGUUGUAUCAAAACUUGACUAGUACAAGUGUGCAGCAGCAAGAUUAUAUGCGAAUUUGAAUUAGAAAAAUUAAUUAAUACUUAAUUAUUUAUGUGCGAAGGCUAAAAUUGUAAAUGUAUUAUUGACACAUAACGAAAUAAAUAUAACUUAUCCUUAUUUGUAAGACUGUGUCCAUAUAAGUUGGGAAUCAAAAGCCAUGUCCUUCUUUGUGUAUUUAAUAUUUUUCAAGGGCAUAUAUCUAGUUUGCUAAAUUAUUUUACUAUACGAUUGUUUCGAUAUUCCUAUAUAUAUAUAGUUCGUAUAUAUUGCUAGCUAGCUGAACGUUGCAUUUUUGCCUUAAUGACGCGUUUGAUGGUCUACCUUUAUGGUAAACCUGUCUUGGCCCUAUACGUUAGUUUUUUUUUUUUUUUUUUUUUUUUUUCUACCAUUAUGGUGUGACGGAUGAUUUACUAUAAUUGUAAACCUGCCGUAGCCCUGUAUGAAGAUACAAGGCACAAUAUAACACCAUCUUUUCUCCUUAAUUGCGUGGUGGAUGGUUUACCUAUAUGGUAAACUGUCGUAGCCCUAUACGAGAGUCUUUUCAGGCAUUAUGACGUGGUCGAUGGUUUACCCUCAUGGUAAACCUGCCGUAGCCUUAUGGCCCGCGACUGCGUCGAUUAACAAAUCAGCUACCGGCAUGGGGUAUAUGUCUUUAGGCGUCGCAUUGUUGAGGUCCCAAUAGUAGACGCAAACACACAUUUUUCCAUUCUUCUUACGGAUUGGGAACACAUUGGACAACCAUUCGAUAUACUUUGCAAUGCAAAUGAUUCCUGAUCGGUACAUGUUUUCGACCACUUCUUUCACGGUGAUCUGGGUUUCGACUCGCAUGAAUCGCCAGUCUUGUUGUACUGGUCGCCAGUCAGGGAAGGUAAGGAGCCGAUGGCAUACCCAUUCUGUUGCAAGGCCGGACAUGUCCUCAUAUCUCUCUGUAAAGUAGUCUUUGAACUCGCUUAACAGAGUAAGGAGCGGCUCACGUUCCUCUUCUGUCAAUUUGGCGCUAAUGGAUAUGACUAAGGGUUUCUCCUCAGUCCCAAUAUUAACCUGCUCAAUUGAGUGACGUACCUGUGGUGGUGUAUCGUCUAAAGCGGCAGGAGCCAAUUGGAUAGGCUCUUCUUCAUGAUUAUCGUUGUAGUCAACCACCUCAUCAACAUACUCCAAAGUCACGACCUUGUUAUAGGCCUCAUGUUCUGCCCAGUACGAAAGUAAUAUUCUCUCGUAGAGCGACUCGCCGACCUCGUGUACCUCCUUAGAAGAGGCAUUAUCCAUCGGAUGGUUUGGAUGAACUUGCGAUGGUGCAAGGACAUUGAAUGUCGUCCUUUACUUCGGUUAUACCCCAUCGCGCUAAGCUAGAUGUCGUCACCCCAAAAGGGCGGCCUUUCUGAUCAACCCCAGUAACAUCCAGGGGGCCCAAGUCACUGCGGUAGAAAUGGGCGUCAUUGAAAUUGGCGGACACCGAAAAAGAUCGCGGGUCAGCCUUGAUGACCUCAGCCGUGUCCUUCUCAAAAUCUCAAAUGAUCAACUCUUGGUGCAUGGACGAAGGCACAAAAAAACUUCUAUGAAUCCAAUCAUGACCCAAGAUGAUCUUGUAAGACGUAUUGCAUUCCGCAGCAAAGAAGGUAUAGACCCAGGACGAAGGGCUUACUUUGACCUGUAAGAACAGGAGCCCUAGGGUUCUUGCAACCGAACCAGAAAAAUUCUUCACAGUGAGAGAAGUCACAUGGAUCAUCGACUGUUGUAUUCCAAGGAGUCCCAUAGUGCAAGUUGUGAUGCCGUUGAUUAUGGCACCGGUAUCAAUCAUGACUUUAUUGGCCAUGAUCCCUUCAAUCUCAACGGUGAUGUACAAAGGCCGUAUGUGAGUGGUCAUGUCCAAUGUUGGUUUUGUGAAAGUCAUUGUUUGCUUAUGCUUGACAAUGUGAGUGACUUCCACUUGAGGGGUCUCCUCUUAUUCGAGCGAUAGUAUGGGUUUUCUAAUACAAUGGGACGACCCAACGUCUUCAUUGCCCCCUGGCGCCUCAACUGCAUGACAAGUAGUGCUCGACGGAAGGGCAUAUUUCUUGGAGAUGAAGAACAUCAUUCCAUAAUGGAAAGCAAAAGGUUCUUGCUCGCCUGGUAUGGAUAGUUCAGGUACGUAGUCCAACUCUGUUUCUCAGUCAUAAAGAGCGGUAAAGACUUUUGGCAAAGCCCCCUCAUCUCCAUCCUCAAGACCCUCUAAAUGGAGCAUGUUGUAACUGAAUGCGUCAUCUUGUCCGUCUUCCUGGUCCUCGUUAAUGUCAACGCGGGGCUUAGUAUCUAAAUUAAUUAAAGGCGAAGAAAUCUCGCGGAACUUCUGCGCCAUUUGCUGCACCAAGUUUCCUUCCGUAGAAGUAGACACCGCUACCAGACUUGGCUCAGCCACCAUUGUCUGUACUAUGACGAUGUUCAAUCGCUUGGGGAACCAUUCUUGCUUAGUGGAGGAACAUUUAUCCUUAGGUUCUGCCGCCUGCCUGUCUGUUGUCUUGCAACUAGCGUCCCCAGUGUUGCCCCUAGUCGUUGAAACAAGGAGAUUCACCGAGUUGGUUGUCUAGUUCCGCCAGCGUGGUGGCCCGCUUUGGAGCGACACUAAGUCAGCAGUAUACACUCGGUCUAGGCUCCAUACUUUACACAGAUUGCUCUGACUGUUGCGGUCCAGGUGCCGAAGCUAUCUGAAGCAAAGCUUUUAAAGCCUCUGCCUCACGUCGCAUACGAUCAGGAGUCUGAGCAAGUUGUGAAUGGCAAACAACGCCUUCCUCAAAGGCCCACAAAGCUCGCAUGAUGCGGCAUUAACAUAUUCUUUACAGCUUUCUUUUUUCUUGCUUUGCCGACACCUCUAGUUUUACAUUUCCAUCAGUCCCAAGAGCUUUCAUGUUCUUUUUCUUACUGCCCACCGGACGACUUCUUUUUUCUUACUUGGGCUGCUUGUGCGGCUAUAAUAGCAGCAAACCCAGAGUUGUUGCAUUAAUGUUGUGCCUGCCAAUAGCAAGAUUGAGUCGAGAUCGUUUUGGUGAGAUAGAAUCCCCACCAAUCCUCUUCCUUCUUUUCCCAGUAACAAGAAAGUUAUCCAAUUGAGGCUCAUCUCCCUAAUCACCAAUUGCUUCUUAUCUUUCUGUGGCAGGAAAGAAGCUGAAGCCAAUGCACUUGUAGCAAAAUUUCCAGUUGCAAAAGUAGGUGCAAUUACAGAGGGUACUUGUGCUUUGAAAACCAUGUUUUGUGCAGCAAAUGUCGAGGUCGACCCGAGGCAGCACUACCUACACACUAGAAGCUUUAAGCGCUGCCUUGCCGGCUGCCUCCAAUGGUGUUCCUGUGCAUGGUAAUCCAACAUGAGUUAUUUAUCCACAAACACCACAUUUCCCAAAAAAUUUAUCAUACUUGAAUUGUAUGAUUUUUUCACUCCAUUGUCUAAGCAAAACAACCUCUCUAGCAACAAGGGUUGGCCAAAUUCGAUCUCAACCCGAAUCUUCAUAAUCUUGUUCUUACAUGCCGGCUUAUCAAACUCUUUCAUCUCUCCUAGUGUGCUUCCAACCAUAUGCAUGAGUCUUUUCGAUCGAUAAAGAAAAGGAACCUUCAACAAAGUUAUCCAAUAUGAGGAUUUGAUCAAGGAGACAGUCUCCACAUCCUUGAUACCAUCAUAACCGGCCAACGCAACAUGUGCGUGAUUGAAACCCUAAGGACCUCCCUUCCAAACCCAAGAUUUAUUGUUUGGAUCCGAGAAAGAGAAGAACAUCCUUUGUCCUUCAGUAAGUUGAACCUUAAACUUACCAUUCAGUUAUCAGGCCAUCUUAAACAUUCUCAUGAAGGAUAUGCGAUUAAAAUCGUGUGCAGUGAGCAGUUUCCCCACCAAAAACACCUUCGCUUGACGGAGACCUUUCCCUUUUGACGGUCUAAAAUCCAUCGCCUUCUUCCCCCAUUCCAGAGCCAAAGAGGAUGCAAGCCUUGCAGCCAUGGCAUUGAUAUCCUCUAUUGAAUGGGAUAAUGGAGUUGCUUGCUAAAUUUCGUCAAAACUUUUACCCUAGGAGGCUAGAGAGAGUUCGACAACUCUUUUAGUUCAGCUACGACAUCUUUCUCGUAUUUUGGUUGAUAAUGUCAAUCUCAUUAUGUUUGCUACUAGUGCGUAAUAUUUGUUCUAGCUUAACCACUGCUACUCUGCGAGCAUUAUGUUUUCAUUCAUAAGUUCUUAUUUCUAUUGAGAAGAUCAUAUUCAUAACUACGUCUUGCUACAUAUGUAAAGAACAAAUCAGAAAUAUAAUUAAGAGCUAUUACUUAAAUUUCAUCUAUAGUAGAUCUAGAGAAGGAAAACAUAAAUUGGCAAUUUAAGCUAUCCUAAUGUUUAUUGAGUCCGGAUUAAGGAACACUUUUUUUGACACAAAGUUUGACACUUCUUUACGGCCCUUAGAUAUAAGAACAUUCAAUGGCUAUGAUUAUUGUUUUAAUGACAUGACAUAUCUAAAAUUACUCCUAACAAAAAUAAAUUUAACUAAUAGAUUUUGUUUUCUUUUAUAAUUAAAACAAAGAAAAAAAAAAGCCGAGAUUAGAACAAGAAAAAUACAAGAACAAGAACUUGUCUUUUAAAUAGAGGAUUAGGCGAUAUUAGCUCGUUUGUAGUAACCAACGCGCCCUGCCACAUUCCUAAAAGAAAUGGGGUUACUACAACCAGGAGCCCACCGCCCAUCCCUCUAAAUGUUACUUUUGAAUAAGAAAAUAGUACAAGGGGCGGGGUGUAGCCUGACUAAUAUUGAACAAAAAUAAAACAUUGAUACAAAGAAAACACACGGCGGGAAUAACAGUUAUGUUUUUUGUUCACCGGGUGCUCCACCUUUUACAUAACCUAUCAAUCAGCUUGGGGAAGUCAACUCAGCUCAAUUUGAUUAUGGUGAGAAGCCUUCAAGUAUGGAGGAAGGGGAGUUCACUCUAGGUAUGCCUCAUCAUAGGCCGGGCUAGGGCCAACCCUACCCUAAAUUUUAGGGCUUAGGGUUGGGCUGGGUAGGGCUUUAACUUGGCCAACAAAAUUUACAAGCCCUUACCUGUCCUUAAAGCCUAUUUGGUUAGGACUCAAAAGGGCCAAAUAAGGCCAAAUUGGUUGAAUACGACGUUAUUUUGUUUAACAAAAUAAAUUCAUUAGUUUUAAUUUUUUCUUUUCUAAAAAAUUACCUCAAGGGAUAUAUGUGAUACAAGACCCUAUUUUUAGUUAUUUUUAACAUACAUAUACAUUAUAAAUUUUAUUAACACAUUCUUAAUUACUAGAUACACAUCACAUACUUACACCUAUUAACUUUAUUAUUUUAACAUUUUACUACAUACAUAUACCCAAACUUCAUACAAUACCCUCAUUUAAAAUACACAACUUAUUCACUAAAUACACAAACCAUUCACUAAAUGCACAUACUUUUCUAGAUUUGCUCCUCAAUUAUUCAAAAAAAAAAAUCUCAUUAGUAAGAUUUUUCUCAAAAUGUUUCAUCUUUCCUCACACUAAAAUUUAAAUUGCCAACUUCAAAUUAUACUAUCUAUGUGACACCAUGACCUUAAAUUUACAUGAAUAAAUAAACAAAUUUAUCCUCAAAUACUACCACAAUUUGUAGAACAACUUGAUCAACAAGCAAAAUCUAUAAUCAUCAAUCAGUCUUUCAAAACAACACCGAAAUCAACAUUAGCAUUAACCCAACAAUACCCAUAAUACAGAAUCAGAUUCACUGUCCAAAUUAUUGAAAAUUUAUUUACUUUAGGUAACGUCGGGUUUACCUUUUUAUCUCUAACCACAACUGAUCGACGAGUUGUCGAUUUAUAAUAUCAUUCGACUCGAUUUCUCACAUGACGAACCGAAUAGCAACGAUGGCCAAUUGAUCGCCAUUCGACUAAGGAGUCGGACACCAACAAACUUAGAGAAAAGGCUUUGGAGGUCGGUGUGAUCUUCGAUCCUCUCACUCCUUGUCUAGAGAACUCGGGAGAUACCAUAUGUAUCUCGAUUCAGGUUGUUAGGUCCUUCUUCUAGGUUGAGGAUGUUGGACUCUCCUCAAAGGAUCCAUCCUUCAGUCCUUCUAUUCCCCAGAGAGAGAGUGAGAGACGUAUCCCCCGCACUUUUCCUUCUUCCCUUCCAGAAACCCCUAGCUUCCUGCUCUAAAAAUGUUUCUAAGUUCGUGAUCAUUAAAGUCGAGGAUGCACGUGCUAUCUCGAAAAUCCUCAUCCUCUUUCUCACAUCUUCUUGACCCUUCCAAAUCUCUUCCUCAUUCAUUUUCUUUCCUUUUAUUUUAUUUUUAUAUAUAUAUUUUUUAUUUUCUUUUAUUAACCCUUUUCACUAAAUAAUUAUUCAAACUUGUAAUAAAUAUUAUAAUAAUACGGGGUAUUACAAUCUAAUCAAAUAACAAACCUUAAAAUCUAAAUUUUGUAGUAAAUCAAACUAAUCAAAGACGAUGAAGUCAUACCACGCUUAGGGGUUGAGAAAUACCACUAUAAUCCAUUACGUUGUCUUCAGUUUUUGCUUAAAACUAUGGUUGUUCAUGAUAAAUGUCGCUAGCUAUUUUUAAUUAGGGCUUGGUAUCUUCACACAUGGUGUUCUCAAAAAGGAUAAAAAAAACUCUUAAGCGAGAUAUUUUAUUAAAUUUCUUUACUUUUGAUAUGAAUGUCUCUUUUGGUAAUUUUACCCACCAAGUCGGCAAGUCUUAUAUAAUUUGUAUAUAAAAAAAAUGUACAUAUAUCAUUUGGGGAUGUGUUAAUAAAAUUUAUCUACAUUAUAUUUAACUUAAGACACUUAUAUUUAUUAAUCCAAGUAGUUAUAUUCAUAUAUCUCAUUAACUAUCUCUCUAAAUCACCAAAAAUCAAGGAGAAAUUUUUAGAUGUUACAGGAGGACCACGUGGCAAUAUGACGUGGUCCUACAUUUCAAUCAAAUAUUAAUACAUGGAUUUAUUACAACUAAAAUAUAAACUAAGGUUUUCUAUUUGUUGUGAAAUGACCUUCAUGGGUCUUUGUUGAGUUUGGACUAGGGUUUAGGGUUUAGGGUAGGUUUAGGGUUUAAGGGUUAGGGGUUAGGGUUUUGGGUCUAAGGUUUAGAGUUUAUAGUUUAGGGUUUAAAAAGCAACAACAAACCCAAAUCGUCUUUGACAAAAUAGUUGAUGUAAUUUUUCUUUAAUAAAAUCCAUGUGUCAAUAUUUGAUUGGAAUGUAGGAUCACGUUAUACUGUCACGUGGUCCUCCCGUAGCGCUAAAAAAUUUCUCAAAAUCAAGGGUGGUGCUAUUAACACACCCCAUCUAGGAUGAUUUUUUUAGAAAUGAAAUGAAAGGAUUUCAUUAAGGGACGAUGCCCAUACCAGCCCAAACUAGGGUCUAAUCCGAUUACAUGAAACUAAAUGGAUUAAUUCGCAACUACUUCCGCACAGAAAUAACAAGAGCAAAUAUUACCAUGACUAAAUUACAAUUGAAAACUAAGGGCCAAAGAAACAAGCCCAAACCAACGCAGAAAACCUAGCUGUUGCAUGCCAUCACCCUCAUCGACCACAUAGAGCAGCAGCAACCGAUGAGUCGCCAUAAGCAGUAACUAAGAAAUUUCAUAUCGUUUAGCCGAUAAAAAAAAAAAUACUCUUAACACAAAUUAGAAGUAACCCAACAAUCCAAGCAUCAUCUUUUUCAUCCAAAAGACCUAAACCAAGAGAGUGGCGUGACUGGGGAAAGAGGACCAAGAACAAGAGCCGAGAACCAAAACCAUAGAGAAUGGGGGGUGGUGAACCCAUGCGUGAGCACCCAUACUCAAAUCGGUAAGUGCUUUGCACUUUAUCAUCGCAACCACCAAAGCUUUCAUGGAUUUUGGAAUUGAGAUGAGAAGAACUGAUAUGGGAUUGAUAUGAGAUUGUUUGACAUAGAUUACAAAAGAAAAUGAAAGAUGAGAAACAAGUUCCUCCCGAUCUGAACGAAGUCCGAAUAUUGUUGGACAUAGCCAAAUUGCUAGACAUAAGCCAGAGAUAGCCACAAAGGGGAAAAAUCAUCACACAUGUGAGGGAAGAAACAAAAAACUGUUGAAAAUGAUGAAAAGGGACCUCCCCCAACCCUUAAACCCUUAAUCUAGAUCCGGAAAGGACCAAGUAUUGGGGCAGAAGGGAAGGGGGAGGGAAAAUUUUCUUAUAUCUACUUUCUCUCUAAACCCUAAACCCUAAAAAUUCUGGGAAAGCCACAACACUUCCGCUGACCAUAACUUCUGCAUACGCAGUCUGUUAAUGUGUGUCAUGUGUCUAUGAACUCGUAUCGUCAUGCUCUACAACUUAGAAGAAGGAAGUUUUAUGAGAAAUCCAAUGGAUAAAAAGUCAACUCUAUGACCCUUAAAGAAAAUAGAACCGUUUCGGGUAAUUUAUGCGUUCGAACACUUCCGCUCUUCCUUCGAACCUAAAAAACACACUAAUUUCUAACUCGAAAAUUCCCAAAUAAUAUUAGAAACUAAUAUCGAAUUUCCAGGGCAUUACAAAGUUGGUGGUGCGGCUGCCACUGGCCUUGGUGCAGUGUUUAUGGGCGCAAGCCCGAGUCUGGUGAGAAGGUCUGGAGUCCCCGGACUUCCAACGACGGUGGGAGGUGACUUGGCGCAUUUAGAGGCCAUGUUGCCCGAGUAGAUCAAAUCUGGUUUCGUCGGGUCUCUAAAGUGCCAUGCCUUGUGGAUUCCGAUUAGGGGUGGAGGCCCAAUUGUGGUGCUAGCUAACGUCGUUAAGUUUAGAGGAGUCAUCGGUCACCUUGGUGGCUCCCUGGUUAUUGGCAGAGGAUGCAGAGGAGGCUCGGUGGUGAGUGUCGGUGUCGGUGCCCGCGGUGGCUGCUCCAAUCUCCUCUCUUUGGUUUUGGGUUUUGGGCCUACAUUGAAGGUCAGGUUGUUGUGGGCUCUGGACAUGCGAACAGAUUUUGAGUCAGUUGAUGAAUAGCUAUGCUACUGUUGUCUUGGAGCCUGGUCCCGUUACACCAUCUCAGGAGAUUUCCUCUAUGUAGGUUGACUCCGGUUUCUAAUGAAUAAGUCGGAGGAUUUUGACAAUUACAUUUUAUUGAUCAUAGGGCCUAUUUUAAGGGUUUGCAACAUAAAGAUGACUGAUGUCAUGUAUGUCGUUUUGCGCAAUUCGAUUUUUUUUUAAACGCAAUUUGAUAUUUACCUAACCUGUGAGGGUACGGUGAAUUAUAUUCAUGUUGUACUUCUACAUUUUAUUUGAUCAAUAAUAUGACUUCGCAUCCUUGGUUAAAAAAAAAAAGUGCGUCUAUUGUCACCCCACAAACUAUUUUGCUCACCCCAUGCACGUUCUUUUCACACCUCACUUAUAUUUUUUAAUUGUAAGUAUAUUUUGUUCACCCAUUUACAAUACCUAAAAUACCAUUUUCUCAAUUCUCUUUAUUCACCCUACAUUCUUUUCUCACCCUGCAUAUAUUUUUUCAAUUUCAGAUUUGCUCUGUUCACCAUACAUUAAAUUUCUUCUCACCCCGCAUAUAUAUUUUUUUAAUUUUGAAUUUAAUUUAUUCAUCCAUUUGCAAUACACAUAAUAUCAAGCUCUUCCAAUAGCAAUUGAACUCCAAAAACAAAAAGAAAUUGAAGAAAACCAUAACAUUAAUAUCAUUUGGGUAAGUGAAAUCACCAACUUAACAAAAAAAUCAUAUUAAAGUAUAAAUCUCAAUUAAAGAACAAGAAAAAACUCUCAAAUUUAACUCAUUAGUAUCCGUCGAUGUCAAGAUGCACAAUGUUUGUAAAUGUAUCUCUACUUGAAAAAAGUUCCGACGCCGAUGAAAAAAAAAAAUCAAAUAUAAGUGAGCGACUAAACAUGAAAAUUUACAUACAAAAUCGACUUAAGUGAGUGUAUUUGGGAGCUUUAUUUGAGUUAAGAAUGGAUUGUGGGUGAGCUUGUUGUGAUUGAAGGUUCCAAAACUGGGCAAUAGACUUCGCAGAAGUGGAGAAAGAGAAUGAUGGAGAUGAUUCUCGAUCAAGAAGGGAAACUGAGAAAUAUUAUUUUUGCUUUUAGUUUAGAAGGAAAAAUAAUGGACAGUAACAGAGUUAGAGUCGUGUUAAAUUUUAUUACGUGGUGUUUUAUGUGUCAGUUGCUUAUUGAUGAUACAGGGUUGGCACUGAGAAAUUCGGAACAGGUGAUUUUUCUUCAAAUAAUUUAUAGGGUGACAAUAGACGCACCAGAAAGAAACGAGAUGUUAGAAUUAAUAAUAAAUAAGCAUUUUCCUCUUUUUUUUUUUUAGAAUAAGACAUUUUCCCUUUGAAUAUCUCUAAAUAUAUAUAAAAAUGUGCCGGACCCUUCUUCCGAAAACAUAGCAUUACAGCAAAAACCUGUUUAGUUUCGUUUCCGGUUUUCCGCAAAUCCAUCAAUAAAACAAAACAAACCAAAAAGGAUAUCAGAUCAGAUUCUGAAACAAAACCCAUCGAUCUCAGCUAUGGUAUGUUCCAUCCCUAAGUCUUUGAUUUUCCGCUUGUUGCAGCUUCGAUUUUGUAUCUCUCUCUCUCUCUCUCUCUCUUUUUCUUCUUCUGUUCAUUACCUCCUAUAUUCGAGGCUAUGGCUUUUAGAAUUGUGAAUCUGGGAAUUCUAUUUUCUAUGAGAUUUCGGUGUCUUCUAGUUCCCAAUCGUGUUUUGAUUGUGAAAAUCUCUAAACCAGAACCGACCAAGUGUGCUCAGAUUUUGGAGGUCUUUCCGUAUAAUUUAUGAAAAAUGUAAAAUAACUCAGUCAUAUUUGAUCAGAAAAGUUGUGGAAUUUCAUGCUCUUUGUUUUGUAGUAAUGCCUUGCAGUUGUUCUAAACCAUAAAGCAAUGCUUCUUUUCAUUAACUCGUAAAAAUAAAAAAAUAAAAUAAGUGGAGUUUGAGAAUAUAUGUACCUGUUAUUCAUUAUUGAUUAUUAGCAAUACUAGGGUUCAAGGGGUACUUGAGCUCCCGACCUCAGGUGAUGGGGUAAAUGCUUUACAUUAUUAGAACUACAAGUCCCCACUUAUAUGGGACUGUUUGAAAGAAAAAUAUCGAUUUUGAAGUCGUUUAGAUGAUAAAGUUAAUAUAAGUUCUGUUAGUGUAGUUAAAGUCCCCAGUUAUGCAUUGUUUUGUUUGAUGAGAAACGUUUUGUUUUUGGAAAAGUUACAUCCAUAGUGUGGAUGCAACAACAAAGAGAUUUCAAAAUUGUCAGGGGUGAGGAACUGGAACCCCUGUGGCAUAAAGCGUCCUUUUUUGUGGGCCUUAACGGCCUCAGAGUCUUGGGAGGUGCAGUUAGUCCUUAUGGUGCAGAUUAAUAUUGGCCUUCUCUUUUGACCCUCUUAUAUUUAGCUGGGUUGUUUUCUGUUUUAUACUUUUGCUCAUGGUUGUUUAGUCACUGUGUGCAUUCUUGUGUGCAUUGUGGUUGACAGCUAGUUCACUAUGAUAGAUUUACUUUCUUUCUGAUGUAGUGAAAUAUGUGCAACUAAUAUAUUUACAUAUAUACAUUUUGAAGAUAGUUUUGUAAAAUGAUACGAAAUUCAGUCAUUCAUCUGAACAUAGGGAGCACCGUUAUGGGAUCAUUUUCUUUUCUUUGUUCAUAGAUUUGGUACCUGCAUGUAUAUGUGCAAUGUGCAUUCCAUGAGUUAGAGUCAGAGUGAGAAUGGGAGAGAAAUAAAGCACCGGGGGGAAGGGGAUGAAGAACCAUAAAAAAUGAAAUGAUAUUAAUAUUUCUUGGAUCGCUGAUAGAUUAGAUUGUGUGGUUUAUCUUAUGUUUUUGUCAAUGUGUACAGGCUGCUAAGAUCCUUGCCAACUUAAUUGUGAUGGGUUCUGGUAUUCUGGCAAGGGCCGUAGUUCAAGCAUAUCGUCAGGCACUUGCAAGUAAGUUUUCUCUUAUCAUUGUAUCUCAAUUAUGACUUGCAGCUCUGUAUACUUUUUUUCAUUAAAUGUAGAUGAAUGAUAAUUGAUCCUUUGCAUUAUUCUCUUUUACUGUUAUAGUUUGUUUUGAAGGUUUUGGCUCAUGUAAGUAUGUUUGUAGGUCAGAGAAUUAUUCAAAGUUGUAUCUAUCAGUGGUAACUGUUAAGUGAUAAACCUGGUACUGGUUCAAUCAUCUUUCCUUGUCAAAAUUUCAAUAAAACACAUUAAGUGCAUUUGUACGAACUUUCUGGUCUAGCAGGCCAUUGAGUGUGCCAGAUGCAAGACGUCUUUAAUUUUUAGUUUAUUAAUGUCAAACGCUUUGGGUAGUUACUGUUUUACAAUCACUAUCUGCUUUGUACUGCCAUGAAGCAAUCUCUUUCAAAUAUGUGAACAAAAGUAACAGAACUUCCUUCUAUUAGUUGGCAUUCAGGUUUUUUCAGUUAUUGACACAUCCAUUAAAAAGUUUCUAUAUAUUUCUAAUGGUUUGGGUGUCUUCAUAGUUCACUUUCUGGAUCUUGAGAUGGGUUGCACAGCCAAAUAUUUACCUCUUGGUACUUUUACCUUGAGGGUGUGAUUAGAUUAUUUAACUUUUGGGUUGCAUAGGCGUUGUGCUUCAAAUGCUCUAGCUAUGUGUUAAGCUAUGCUGAAUAGUACAUAGCGAUACAUGGGCUUAGAAUUGAACCUAAAUUGUUUGUUGAAUUGCCAACAGAGCAUAUUUUGAAGCUGUUUCUUUAAUUACAAUGAAAAUAAAUAAACUGAUAUCUUUUUAAAACAUCACUCAUUUUGUGUUCAGUCCACCUGUUUAACAGAUUCGAGACAUAAUUAGUUUAAGUGGACCAUUUUUAUAACUAUUAAGCAAACAUGUUAUAAAUAAAUAUAAUGUGCUUUUAAAUUGUCAAAUAGUAAACCAUACUGAAUAAUGGAGAAAAAUUAUUAUAUUAAUUGACAUGGUAGAUUAGCAUAAUUGAUGUACCCAAAUCAAUUAUUCACUUAUUUAAUAAAACAUCACUCACUUAAUUGAUGUACCCAAAUCUGGAAGCAAUUCCUGGAUGGUCGCCCUAUAGUAGAUUAGCAUACUAUAUAGAUAACAGUUAACACAUUCAUUGUAAUCUUAUAAAAUCCUGAUUGCAAUUAUACUGCUUGUCAUGAUCCAUAUUAGUUAACUUGGCCCUACCCCAGCCACGUUGAUCUGUGUACCAGUCACGGACUCACGGAUGAUCCAUUCAGACUCUCUAGGUAUAAUCUCAAUAAAACAUCAUACUGUUCAAAACUCAAUAAGACAUCAUAGCUUACCAGCCGGAAAAAGAAAUAAGAAAGCAUCAUUUGGAGACACUACUUUAGCAGCAACACUAAACACAGAAUAUCUAUUUUGCUCUUUAUUUCGCAUUGUUGGGUGGAGUUGAGUGUUGUACAUGACUAUUGACAUGGGAGAAUGAGAAUGUAGUCUCACUUAGAUGUGGUAAAGAAAUUCCUGAAUCCUGAUAUGCCCAUACUGGAUCCUUACCCAACAAGGCUGCAAACAUUGAUCUUCUAGCUUUCUCUCGCUCUCCAAAGUCUAGCAGAGUACUUUUCUUAUCAUUUUUAACUGCACCACCAUACAUAAACAACAAUUGUCAACUUAGCAGUUAGCAACCACAUUUUGUCAGUUCUAUCUUAUCUGCACACUGUUACAUUGGAUUCACCUCAACUAAUCUCCAUUCUAUAUGAGUAAGAAAGGGUGUCCUGUUCAUGGAUCAGUGUGCUGUGGUUUCCCUGAUUUGAGCAUUAAAACCAAUAAAACCUUCUCCUGUCCCAGAUUAUUAUUGUUAUUAUAUUUUCUUGUUUAUUUUUAAUUUUCUUGUUUAUUUUUGCUUGGUGACCGUGCACUGUUGUUCUUAAUUAGUUUUUUGCUGCACAAUAUUUUGAACUUUGAAUGAUUCUUAAGUAUAACAAUGUUUCACUUUAGACAUGUAUUGACAUUCAGUGCAACUGCAUAAACUUGGGAACAUAAAAUCUAUAAUAGAGGAUAGUAUGUAUAUGUCCUUAAACUUAUAGCUUAGUCUGUAAACUUACAUGCCCAAAUUACUUUUACCAACAACUAAUGGUUGAUAAAAUUUGCAAUGAUUUCUGCAUUCGGGUUAACUUAUGGUCAGCAUUGUGAGUCUCUGCAAAUCUCAAGGGGAUUUCAUAUCAGCUGGUUUGUGAUAGUUGUUUGCUGUACUAUGCUAGUUCUUUCCUGACUUUAACUUCGUUGUUAGAUUAGAAAUGAGGUCAUAUUGUUUCUUAACGGGCAUCUAUCAAAAUUAUCACCAUUUCAUUUAAGGAAAAAGAAAAUAUGCAUGUACAUAUUACCGAGAAUACUGAUUCAUACUUACUGAAUGAGAAGUUUUCUGGUGCUGUAUCCGGGGGCUACAUUGCUAUGACAUCUUUUAGUCACAUGUCUGUUCUUUCUUCCUGGUUUAGACUUGAUUUUAAGGAUGUUGUGUGAGUGUUGGAUCUGGUAGCAAUGAAAAUUGAUUCCAACUUUAGAUGUCUAUACAGUAUUAAAUCAUCUGUGCUAUCUUGCAGAUGCCUCGAAAUCUGGUGUUGCUCAAGAAACACUACAAAAUGCUGCUCGUAGAGCUGGCAAAGUCAUGACAGAGCAAGAAGCUAGGCAGAUUCUUGGUAUCUCAGAGGAAACUACUUGGGAGGAAGUCUUGAAGGCAAGUAUUUUUCUUUUUUCAUUACUUUCAUCUUGGUAUCCCUCUCAUAUACACGUGAAUAGGAUUCUCAAACACACUUCCUAAACCUGCACAGAAAUACGAUAGGUUAUUUGAAAACAAUGCCAAGAACGGGAGCUUUUACCUUCAGUCAAAAGUUCACAGGGCCAAGCAAUGUUUAGAAGCUGCCUAUAAAGAUAAAGGUCAAGGGACCCCUACCCCAAGUUGAGAGUCCUUCAUUUCUUUCGUCCAUCUAUUAAUUGUAUUAUUAGGUCAGAGGUCUGAGGAACAAGCCUGAAAGAUAUAGAAGAUUGAGAAUGUAUAUGCACAUGUUGGUUUAGAUCAUCGCCAUUCUGAAACAUCUGUCUGUUGAAGUUGUAUUUACAUACAUGCCUAUUUCAUCAAUGAUACACAUACCACAUAGCAUAGUGGUUGGCUUGUAUGCAAAGUGGUCUUCAAUGGAGGGCUUGAUUUCAUGGGUGGCCAAUUUGUCUGUCAAUAUAAGAAACCAAAACCAUUCCUUAGUAGUAGUAUUUUUUUUUUUUUUUUCUAUGCAAACCUUUAUCAAUAAGUGAUUCAUUAACCGAGUGAUCAUGUUUGUGGUACGAAAGAAAAAACAUAUUGUUCAUCAUGAAGUUUGGCCAGAAGGCCUUUUUUUCACUGAAACAAGUCACCAAAAGUGGAUUUAUCCCAUCUAGAGGCCAAAAUCUAAAAGAUGGAAAAGAAACUGUUGUAAAGGAGUACCCUGAAAAUUGUUGCUUGCAGACGCAAAAACAACCAUCAUGUUUUAACCACAGCAUCCAAUUUGAAAAUUUGUUUUAGCAAUCAAGGAAUCAGUUUUAAGAUUGCCCACAAUGGGAGCAUGAAAAGAAUGAAAAACAGGUAGAUUAGUGACACUUUUUGUAGGUCGAAAAGAUUAGUGACACUCAGACUAGGAUAUCUUGGAAGACAAUCAGAGUCUACAACAACUCUGUCUAGUUUUUCAUUACAAGUGGUUCAUGUUUAUUAGACCAAAUGAGGGAAAUCACUACCCCCAGAAGAAGGGAGGAAAAUCAGAUUACGCUUGUUCAGAAUAGAAGCAAAAUUUAUCAUAUAGUUAGUGACCGUUCUCACACCUCUUAUGUUUUUCAGAAAUACCAAGAAUACAAUUGAAAUCCCUAGCAUGAUACAUGGUUCUUUCAUCAUUGAUAGGAGUGGCUAAUUUAUCCCAAAGAGAUGAUUGUUGAAUUUUUUGAGGGGUCAUAGAGAGAAAAAUUGCCAAAAUUUAAUUUUGCAAGUGAGACAACAAUGAAGAAACCGAGAAUGCUCAGUAGUAACAUUAAUACAAACUGUAGCUCCAUUCCAACAAAUAAACAUGCCAACUGAUUGUCCAGAAGGAGGAACACAUUCAAAAUUAUCAAAAAGGUACCCUAGAAAUUAUGAAAGGUAUAAAUAUAUUAUUAAGCCUGAUUGAGAUACCUUUACUUUUGUAGUAUCUUUCGGAUUAUCUUAAUGAAGAACAUAACACAACACAACUUUUGUAGUUUAACAUUCAAGCAUCAAAUCCAAAACUAGCAUUCAUAUAUCAACUUGUUCCCUCAUAAAUACCUGAACCUCUCACGCCUCUAAUUUCAUUAGCCUCAAAGCUCCUCUAUAAUUUGACCACCACACCAACAUUGCUCCUCAAACCUUCGAAAUCAGACCCUUCCCAAUUACCCAGUUUGUGUUUUUGCUUUGUUAUUAUACCUUCAUAUCAAAUCUUGAAACUUUCCAUGACAGAGUUUCGUUCAAGUGUCCCAGAUUGGUAUUAUGCAUGUUUUUUAUUCAGAAUGAAUCUUCAUGGCCUCCGCCAAAGAAAUUUAUGCUCUGCUCCCUCUACUCUGUUACCUGUUCAACUCCCAACUCGAAUGUAUGUACUUACUACACAAUGUUCGAAUGUAGUGACUGCUUUGCUAGAUUUUCAUCUCAGAAAUUGCGGGUUUAUAGGGAAAGUCAUGUGUGGUAUGUUUUACCUGAGGAUGUGAAAAGUGACUGAGUGAGACCCUUUUGAAACGCUGCUCUCACCUUGUGAGAAGAAAAAUAUGCUGCGAAUGCGCGGGGUGAGCUCCAAAAGAUAGCCUUGCGGCCCGAGCGUUGGUUCGGACUACCGUUGCUAGAUAUGUAUUAAUGUAUGUGCUCUCAUUUUGUUUAUGCAAGUAGAAUAUGGCUACUUGUUUUGUAUAUGUGGUUGGAGCGGAUCGAUAUCUAAACAUUGUUGUUGAAUACUAGAUCAGACAAAUGAUAGAGUUGAUCCGAGAUCAUUGAACUUUCAAAAGAACGGUUAUGGGAAGCCUGAGGUAUGUUUUCUUUUCUUACCAUUGAUGCUUUAAUUGCUAUCUGUUUGUUUCUGAGUCCCUUUUGCUUUGUGGGCGCGCACUUUGUAAUCUUUGUUAUAGCAUAUGUGAGUAGGUAGAUUGUCAAAUUGAAGAUGAUUGGCAGCCACCAGCGUUGCAUUUCAACAUCUCACGCACUUCGUCCUUGAUAGCUUGUGGAGUAGCCGCUGAUUCACCUGUUAAGUAUUUGGAGCACUCAAGGCGCCAGAACUUUUUUGAAUUCAUCUAGAAUCUUAUGUGUAGAUAAUUCAAGUACAUCUGUACAUAUAUAAAAUAUGGGCAUGUCGUUGGUGAAGAAAUAAUGUUUUUGACCUGAUGUGAUUUGAUUCUGUAUUAACAGAUUGGCAUUGAUGUGGAAGAGAAGCAGCGAAAGUUGAAGCACCAUAUUCUAGCUUUUGCCAGACGCUACUUCUCUUCUCAUGAAGUGGAACAUCUAACUUCUAUUGAAAUUCAGCGGCAUCAGUUCAUUAAAUUAUGGACUCUCAAGGUAUGUUAUUGAUAAUACAUUGAGUUAGACUCCAAUACAUUCCGAUAGUUGUAUGAAAUCGAAUAAUAUAAAUAUGGGUGUAUAUGGGAAAUUCUAAACUGUCUAUGUUUAUUAAAAGCUUUUGUGCACCCACAUCGGUAAUAAAUAACCACUUAAGCAUUUUCUUCUGAUUCUGAGAAAUCGAUGCUACUAUGAAAUAGAUGUAUUAAGGUUGCAUUUGAAUAUGAUUAUAAUAUUAUAUGACCAAUGAAAAUGGGUGCUUUGGAUUUAUCUUUAAUUAAUUUAAUAUUAGGUAAGUGUGAUUUCCAAUUCACUUGUCUAAAUCCUUUACCUGUAAGAGUUUUCUUUGUUGUCUGCAGAAAAUAGUAUCAAAAUGCCCUGAAAAAUGCGCUUAGGUUCUCUCUGUUAGUCUGUUUAUUAUUUUGAUUCAUGUCUUUAUGUUUUUUCUGAAGCUUUUUCUUCUUACCAUGGAUCUCAUAUAAGAGGCAUAUGUGAAAGCAUUGGAGAGGGGCUUCUCGGCUUCACCUUUUAAGACCUUUACCAUUAGAUCAAGGCUGCAGCUGAGAGAGGCAUUCCUCACUCUGAGAGGGGCUACUCGGCUUCACCUUUUAUUGUAAUAUAGUGAGGCAUCCAUAGUUGUUAGUGUGAUGUGGAGUCAACAGCUAAGCAUGGUUGUUUAGUAAGCUACGAUUUGGGGUUGAGAUUGUUGAGCAGGUAUCAAGUAGUGUAGAAGCACUAUGGUUGACUGAUUGUUUCAUUGUUCUAGAUUUUUAAAUGCUCACUUACACUAAGAUAUUCAACUGCCCUAGACAGAUUACUUCUGGUCUAGACUCUAGAGUGUUGACAUUCCGAUAUGUUUUAGGUAUCUGAAAUAAGCCUAGAGUCUUUUGGCUCCGAAGACAUUGCGAACACUGGAAGUAUUUGCUUUAAAGUUGGCUGGUUCCCAUUAUGGUGCCAUUUGCAAUUUUGCAUGGAAAAACACAACACUGUAGGUAUAUUUCCUUCUCUCUCUCUAUCUAAGAGAAUUUUUAUUCUUAUUUACUGUAUGGAUUAAUUGAAAUGAAUAGGUCAAAAAGGUUGUCACAUUUGUAUUACUUUAUGCAGGAGGAAGAAAUUUUCCCAUAAAUUUGACAGCACGAAUAACGAUCCAACUUGUUGAAGAUGAAUGUGAAGGUACUGAUGCUGUUGUACGAAUAGGUGAAUUGACUUAUUAAUUGUUUAUAAGUGAUUCAAUCUUUCAUUUGGAACACUAUGAAAUCAUGCCAUCGAUAAGCACUUAAUAGAAAAAUUCUUCUUUCUUUGAGCAGUGUAUCCAUCACAAAUCUCUCAUCACUGGUAGCAUGGUGGAGAAAUGCAACUUUUUUUCCUCUAUAGUGCAUGACCAUACAAUAUAGAUAACAGUUGACACAUUUCUAGUAAAUCUGAUGAAUCCUGAUUGGAAUUGUAACUGACUGUGAACCUAACCCAGCUACACUGCUCUGCGUACCAGUCACGGAUGACGUAUUCAGACCCUCUAGCAUAAUCUCAAAAAGACAUCAUACCCUUCAGAACUCAAUAAGACAUUAGACAUCACAGCUUAGUGAGCUUACCAGCAUAAUAGAAGAGUACGAAAUCAUCAUUCGGAAAACACAACUUUAGCAGCAACUCUAAACUUAGAAUAUCUGCUUUACUCUAUGUUUUGCAUUCUUGGGUGGAGGGGGGAGGUUCGAUCCAUGAGGAUGAUAUUGUAGUCUCACUUAGGUAUAGAAUACCCUGAUUUUCCUUACUAGAUCCUUAAACAACAAGGCUGCAAGCACUGAUCUUCUAGCUUUCUCUGGCUCUCUAAAGACUUGCAAACAUUUUUUUUCUUGUCAUGUUGCAAGGCUGCACUACUGUAUAUAAACAACAGUUAUUAACUUAGCGACCACAUCUGGUCAGUUCUUUUCUUGUAUGCUUGUUACUUCCUUCUUACGCACCCUGCAAUUACAAUGCAAUUACAAUUCAUUCUUCAUGAGUAAGAAGGGGUGGGCCUUGGUCAUGGAUCAGUUCCCUGAUCUGAGCAUGAAAACCUUUCUCCUGUCCCAGGUUAUUGUUAUCACUGUUAUUGUUAUUUCAUUUUUCUGCUUGAUGACUUGCGGUGGUGUUCUGAAGUAGUUCUCUGCCGCAAUAUUUUGAACUUGUACUGCUUCCUAAGUAACAACAUUUUCCUUUUAAACUUUUUUUUUUUUUUUUUUUUUUUUUUUUGUUUUUAGAGUUAAGUUGUAACCUACUUUUCCCUUUAGACUUGUAUUGACAUAUCGUAGUUUAGUCUAGACUCCAAAAAAAAAAAAUGGAUGUAAAUAAUAAUCUGUCUGUAAACUAAAUGCCCUGAUGGGUUAAAAAAAUUUGCAAGGAUCUUUGCAUUUGGGUUAACUUAUGGUUUAGCAUUGUGAGUCUCUGCAAUAUCUCAAGGGGAUUUCUUAUCAGCUGGUUUGUGAUGGAUGUUUGUUGUACUUUGCUAGUUCACACUUCACAGAGCUAAGGAAUGUUUAAGAAUGGAGUUUAGUAUAAGAUACUUGUGUAACUAGUAUCUGAGGAGCAGUCCUGAAAGAUGGAGAAGAUUAAGAAUGUCUGCACAUGUUGGUUUAGAUCAUAGCCUUUUUAAUACAUAUGUUCGUUGAAGUUGUAUUCAGAUGCCUCUCCUAUUUGCAAAGUGUGGUCUUCAAUGGAGGCUUGGUUCAUGGGUGGCCAAGCUGUCUGUCAAUAUAAGAAAGAUAAGAAUUUCUUGGCCAACUGUGAUUGACAAGGUAAAAGCACAUGUGCCAUUAAUUCUAGGGUGUGGUUUUCCAGUGAUAGAAGAAUUGUGUAAUGGCAUCAUCUUUCCUUAACUAGGUCGACCCUGUAAUGAACGCGUCCUUCUGGCCUGCGAUUUUGUAUGAAAGAAAAAAAAAAAGUAACAUAUUUUCCCCCAAAAAAAGAAGGUGAAAAAGCAUAUACCAUUACUUUAAAUUUCCACACAUUUAAUGUUUUCAUUUCGAAAGAAGGAAAUGAUACAUUAGUAUGUCGAUACAUAGUAACCACCACAUGUGGUUGAGUUGGUAAGAGCCUAGGUGUAGAACCCUCAUACCCAGAUUCGAAUCUCAGUCGACGCUAAUUGGAGUUAAAUCCCAAUUUAUUCUUGGUGGUCAGAGGGGAGGAAGCAUUCUGACAUGAUCCUUCGGCGCGGAUUAGUCUCUGAGUUUAGAAAGCUUUUGAGGAUAUUGUCGUUGAUACACUAAAAAAAAUAUAUAUAUAUGUCGAUACAUAGUAGGUAGGUUGUAGGCUAGGUUUGAUAUAUGGAUAAACUGGCUUUAAACAUGUAGUAAAAUUACUUGACUUGAUCUCAAAUUAAUCUCCUAUGUAUUAAUUUACAGAGCCCUCAAAACAAUAUACCUCUAAAAUGAGAAAUUUUUGUUAUGUUGUCAUUCUUAUUUCACAAUAAAAUCAGAAAUUGUUAACCAAUUUUUUUUGCUCUUGCUUUCUUCUUUCCUGUAUUAUUUACAACACAUCAUGCCAACUUUUCUUUUGUUUGCCUUUUGGUCGCUUUUCACCAAGACACUAGAUUGAUAGAAAGUUGGUUUCAUGGUUAGUUGUAUGCUCUGUAUCUCUUUCCUUUUGGCGCCAAUAAAAGCUGUAACCAACUAGACACCCAAAGAAUUCCAAUAAUAUAAUUGCCUAUUUCUUGUAACUAAUGCAGGCUGGUUCACUUUCACCUAUUUCUUGUGCGCUAAGUAACCAAGCAAGCAAGGUGUUUUUUUUUUUGUUUUUCUUUGUUCUUUCUGAUAGCUAAUUAAAGCAAAUUUAAGAGGAAGAUUAAUGAAAAAUGAAACGAUGACUCACUCAUAAAGCAGAUGGAUGUCGUUAAGAUCAGUACUUCUAGAAUGCAUUGACACGUAUGAUACACUAAUACCUAGUUGGAUUAUAUUUGAUCUCCUAAUGUUUGUUGACCGAAGUAUAUGAAGAUGUAAAAAGUUGUAAAUCAGUAAAUGAAAGACGCACGUACAAAAUAAUAUCUGUCAAGGAAUAUUGUGAUCAUAAUCUCUAUGUACUUGUUAUUGAAACUAUAUACUUAUAUAGGGUUCAAGCUCUUAGCUAGGUUUGUUGAUUCAAGCUGGUGACAAGCAUUGAUCUUCAAUUGGAACUUUUGAAUCAACAUUCUUUAAUGCAAUUAAAAUUUAAACCUCCCAACUUCGAUUCUUUGCAGUUUUAGAGAUUCUCUUUUACCUUUAAAAAAAAAA
rnacentral:lncRNA from 1 species